rnacentral:rRNA from 1 species
GACGAACGCUGGCGGCGUGCUUAACACAUGCAAGUCGAACGGAAAGGCCCUGCUUUUGUGGGGUUCUCGAGUGGCGAACGGGUGAGUAACACGUGAGUAACCUGCCCUUGACUUUGGGGUAACUUCAGGAAACUGGGGCUAAUACCGGAUAGGAGCUCCUGCUGCAUUGUGGGGGUUGGAAAGUUUCGGCGGUUGGGGAUGGACUCGCGGCUUAUCAGCUUGUUGGUGGGGUAGUGGCUUACCAAGGCUUUGACGGGUAGCCGGCCUGGGAGGGUGACCGGCCCCAUGGGCACAGGGAUACGGCCCAGACUCAUACGGGAGGCAGCAGUGGAGACUAGUGCACAAUGGGCGGAGGCCUGAUGCAGCGACGCCGCGUGCGGAAUGACGGCCUUCGGGUUGUAAACCGAUUUCGCCUGUGACGAAGCGUGAGUGACGGUAUGGGUAAAGAAGCACCGGCUAACUACGUG